UACAGAGGUCUCAAGCGUUGUUCGGAUUCAUUGGGCGUAAAGGGUGCGUAGGCGGCGAGGCAAGUCUGGUGUGAAAUCCCGGGGCUCAACCCCGGAACUGCACUGGAUACUGCUUUGCUAGAGUACUGGAGAGGGAACUGGAAUUUACGGUGUAGCAGUGAAAUGCGUAGAUAUCGUAAGGAAGACCAGUGGCGAAGGCGAAUCUCUGGACAGUUACUGACACUGAGGCACGAAGGCCAGGGGAGCAAACGGG
rnacentral:rRNA from 1 species